UCCUACGGGGGGCAGCAGUGGGGAAUUUUGCGCAAUGGGGGAAACCCUGACGCAGCAACGCCGCGUGAGUGAUGAAGGCCUUCGGGUCGUAAAGCUCUGUCUAGAGGAAAGAAAUGUUUGGCGGCUAAUAUCCGUUGAACUUGACGGUACCUCUGAAGGAAGCACCGGCUAACUCCGUGCCAGCAGCCGCGGUAAUACGGAGGGUGCGAGCGUUGUUCGGAAUUAUUGGGCGUAAAGCGCGUGUAGGCGGUUUCUUAAGUCUGAUGUGAAAGCCCCGGGCCCAACCUGGGAAGUGCAUUGGAUACUGGGAGACUUGAGUACGGGAGAGGGUAGUGGAAUUCCUAGUGUAGGAGUGAAAUCCGUAGAUAUUAGGAGGAACACCGGUGGCGAAGGCGGCUACCUGGACCGAUACUGACGCUGAGACGCGAAAGCGUGGGGAGCAAACAGGAUUAGAUACCCCGGUAGA
rnacentral:rRNA from 1 species